rnacentral:sRNA from 1 species
CGUUAAAUUCGGAAAAUCCGCACAUAUGUCGACACAUUGCUCUGGGUGCCUGUAAAGGUGGAGGAUGAGGACAUAUGGAGGCCUAAC